rnacentral:rRNA from 1 species
GACGAACGCUGGCGGCGUGCUUAACACAUGCAAGCCGAACGGAAAGGCCCUGCUUGUGUGGGGUGCUCGAAUGGCGAAAGGGUGAGUAACACGUGAGUCACCUGCCCUUGACUUUGGGAUAACUUCAGGAAACUGGGGCUAAUAACGGAUAGGAGCUCCUGCUGCAUGGGGGGGGUUGGAAAGUUUCGGCGGUUGGGGAUGGACUCGCGGCUUAUCAGCUUGUUGGUGGGGUAGUGGCUUACCAAGGCGUUGACGGGUAGCCGGCCUGAGAGGGUGACCGGCCACAUUGGGACUGAGAUACGGCCCAGACUCCUACGGGAGGCAGCAGUGGGGAAUAUUGCACAAUGGGCGGAAGCCUGAUGCAGCAACGCCGCGUGCGGGAUGACGGCCUUCGGGUUGUAAACCGCUUUCGCCUGUGACGAAGCGUGAGUGACGGUAAUGGGUAAAGAAGCACCGGCUAACUACGUG